rnacentral:rRNA from 1 species
UGGGGAAUUUUCGGCAAUGGGGGAAACCCUGACCGAGCCAUGCCGCGUGCAGGAUGAAGGCCUUAGGGUUGUAAACUGCUGUGGAGAAUUACUAAAUUUUGAAGAGUUUUCUAGAAAGGGGUUGCUAACUCUGUGCCAGCAGCAGCGGUAAUACAGAGACCCCAAGCGUUAUCCGGUUUCAUUGGGCGUAAAGCGUUCCGAUCGGUUGUUUCGUGUGUCUAUAGUUAAAGACCGCAGCUUAACUGCGUGUAUGCUAUGGAAACUGCGUUACUAGAGUAGUGAAGAGGUAGCUGGAACUCUACAAGUAGGGGUGAAAUCCGUUGAUAUGUAGGGGAACACCAAAUGCGAAGGCAGGCUACUGGGCACUAACUGACACUGCUAGGACGAAAGCGUGGGGAGC